AAAGAAAAAUUAAGACUUAAUUUUGACUGAUGCAAGUGAAUUGCAACACAAGGGAUGGUCACUUUCGGUUGCCCCUGAAGGUCGAGAUCAACCCGUUGAUUCAGAGCUAAAGACAAAGUGGUUUUACUGACCUAGAAUAUCUGGCUUUCUGAUGUUGCAGAUUAAUUAGUUAUUUAAUUAUGGUGAUACAAAAUGGGAACUUCUUAACAUAGUAGCCAGUGAGGUAAAGAAAAUGUUUUGAGUUGAAUAUGCGAUGUAGAUGGACUAAUUUGUGUAAGUUAACUCAGUAUUAGUUCAUGGCACAGACAUCAACGUGGCCUCCUGUUAAUUUAGCAGUAAGUCACAGGGUCUUGUGCUAUGUGCACCUGAACACAGAACAAGUACCAGUGACACCAUUUGAAAACUGCUUCAGGACGUGGGUAACAGCUAAUCUCCCCAAGCACCAUAUGCAUGUGCUUGUCUCUAAAGCUGUCGUGUGUUUUGGGCUGAGCAAGCACUCUGCCAUUGACUGAAUUGAGAGCUGAGGUGUAUGUGGGGAUUAAAUUGAUCUUCUAAAGUAAGAAAGAAAUCAAUAACUGUCAUAAUUAGUGACAGUUAAUUACAAGUUAAAAUGUAUGUUGGCUCUACAGCAUAUAAAUAGUGUGAUGAGCAGGAAGAGAUAAUUCCAUCAAAGCAUCUUAUUGCUGUUCCCCACCCCUGGCAUGGCUCGUGGCUUGGUGCCCUCUGUCUUACGGAGAGAAACUGUCCCAAAUGCAAAUGGGCAGAAGGGAACUGAAGGUAAGCUGGAAGAGAAACUCCUGUCACUGAUUAAGCCUAGAGCUCUUAAUUCCCCUGCAGGACUUCUGUGCAUUACCAAGGCAGCGUGGCUCUGUUGGCGACCUCUCAAAAACACAGAGCAUUUGUGAGGCCCUACAUCUUUGAAAGCACCUCUGUGGGCAGCGCUACCUUUUUGCGUUACUCUGUGGCUUUGCUGUUUGUCUGUCUUGUGACCUCACAACGGUUACCUGGGAGCAGCGCUAACCUAGAAUCACAGAAUCGCCAAGGUUGGAAAAGACCUCCGAGAUCAUCCAGGCCAACCAUCCACCUGUCACCAAUAUUUCCAGCUAAACUAUGUCCUUAGUACAAUAUCUACACGUUCAGUUACAGCAUCUUGGUCCUGUACAGGAGCUUGUAAUGGGGCUAUAGAAUUAAAUCUGAGCUCAGUGUAUGGCAAUCAGUUAGUGGCAGUGAUAAAGAUACUAUUUCCUCAAUUUAAGUGGGAGCAGGUAAUGCAAGCAAAGCAGAAGUGGAAAGCUGAUGCAACAGAGUCACAUUCAGUCACGUCAGAUGUUGGACUUUGCAAAGCGCCCAUUAAGCACAGCAGUGCCAGCUGGGGAAGGUCUUGCAUCUGGCCAUGUGCUCCUGUCACCAAAGCCACUCCUAAGGCACCAGGGCAGCAGUUCACAGGGUGAUUCAAUGAACUGGAUAUAGCACUGGGAAGAAAUGGAAGUAUUUUUUAAGCAUUCAGAGCUAUACUGGUUCGAUCUGGCCUAUUUCACACAUUUCAUGUUUCCUUUAUGGUGUAAUGGAGCAUUAUGCACACAAAGUUUGACACAGAAAGUGCUGAUGUAAAACAGGACUGACAAGUGUACAGAGCUGUCAGGAUCUGAAAGUUUGCAGAUGUCUGUCUGCCUCUUUCUGCUGGGAUUGGACUCCAAAGGCUGUGGAAGGUAAUAGGGGCUAAGAGAACUCUUUCUGAUCCAGCUCACAGACAAAAUCACCAGGACUUUUCCAUUCUCCUUCCUUAGUGUGCUGUCACCUGCUCAAUGAGUGAUUAGAUACGUUCUAUUUACUAAACACAGGGAGAAAAAUAAAAGCAUGGAGUUGGGGUUCACAGGGUAACAGAAUAGCAGGGAUUGGAAAGGACCUCUGGAGAUCAUCGAGCCCAAUCCCCUGCUAAAGCAGAUUCCCUACGAUAGGUUACAGAGGAAAGUGUGCAGGCAGAUUUUGAAUAUCUUCAGAGAAGGAGACUCCACAACAUCUCUGGGCAGAUUCUUCUAGUGCUCUGUCACACUCACAGUAAAUAAUUUUUUCCUAAUAUUCAGACUUAACUUCCCAUGACCAUGUUUGUGAUCUUAGACACUUACUCUGUUGCUGGUCAGUGCUGAAGGGGGCCUGGCCCCAUCUACUUGACUCAGGAUUUGAACCUCAGAAUGGAAGAAUGUGAGGGUUGAUGAUAAAAUCUUAAAAGGUGAUCAAUGGUGGCAAACUGUAAAGCAACUCAAAUUUCAUUUAAUGAGGAUUUUUUCAUUCAGAUCCUAAAUUGAACAAUUUAGUAGAUCCUGUAAAAGAUUCAUAAGAACACAGAGCAUUUCCUUUAUAUUCUCAGUUUCUAAUGUGUUUUACCUUUGGAUACCACUUGCAUAACUUGUUUCAUUGGGAAGGGUGUCUUUGUGACAUGCUCUUUUCCCUUUUGUUUGUGCAGAAAACAAAGUUAGAUUUUAUGAAAAUGAGGCUGAUACACUUGCUUUUUCUCCUGACUAUCCACUGGCUAUGCCAUUCGUGUUUAUAAUACGCAUUGCAGUGGUGGUUUUGUGUUGGCUUUCUUUUUAAAGUGUCUUUUAAUUCCAAUUUCUUGAAUGUAGGACUUCUAUUUGUAAUAGUACUGCCUUAGUGAUCUUACUCUGUAAAAACAUUAAGCAAAACAUAAAACUUAGUCUAGAAUGUGAGUAGCCAUAAAAACGAUGUGCUCAGUGUUUGAAAGCUGCUUUGUUUGUGAAAUCCUUAAUCCAGUGCAAAUUUGUAUUCAUUGUUUUGCAUUUGC